rnacentral:lncRNA from 1 species
UACUUUUUAUUUUUUACUACCCUCAGGCUUGCUGACCUAGACCACAGACUCUGGCAACACCUCUAUCUGAGAUAGCCAGGAUACAACCAAUGUUACCGACUGGCAUAUUUUCAGGUUGGUUGGGCCUGUGCCAUACGGGCCAUUAAUAUUUUUAAAUACUAUCCUUGUCUAUAACCAUUAAUAAAAAUAAG